AUCCAGCUGACAAAUCCCACAUUGGUCGAAACGCGCGUCCUGGAC
rnacentral:hammerhead_ribozyme from 1 species